rnacentral:rRNA from 1 species
CUACGGGGUGCUGCAGUCAAGAAUCUUCCUCAAUGGCCGAAAGGCUGAAGGAGCGACGCCGCGUGUAUGAAGAAGCCCUUCGGGGUGUAAAGUACUUUUAUUAGGGACGAAUCAAUGACGGUACCUAAAGAAUAAGGGGCUGCUAACCUCGUGCCAGCAGCAGCGGUAAUACGAGGGCCCCAAGCGUUAUCCGGAUUUAUUGGGCGUAAAGGGUCUGUAGGCUGUUUAUCACAUCUCCUGUUAAAUCCCGAGGCUCAACCUCGGAACAGCGGGAGAGAUGGAUAAGCUAGAGGCCGGAAGAGGCAAGCGGAAUUGCUGGUGUAGGGGUUAUAUCCGUUAAUAUCAGCAGGAACACCAAAUGCGAAGGCAGCUUGCUAGAACGGUCCUGACGCUAAAAGACGAAAGCGUGGGGAGCGAAUGGGAUUAGAUACCCUAGUAGUC